UACGGGGGGGGCAAGCGUUGUUCGGAAUUACUGGGCGUAAAGGGCGCGUAGGCGGCUCGUCAAGUCGGGCGUGAAAUCUCCGGGCUUAACCCGGAAAAGUCGUUCGAUACUGUUGAGCUAGAGUGUGGAAGGGGCUACUGGAAUUCCGUGUGUAGCGGUGAAGUGCGUAGAUAUACGGAGGAACACCAGCGGCGAAGGCGGGUAGCUGGGCCAACACUGACGCUGAUGCGCGAAAGCCAGGGGAGCAAACGGG
rnacentral:rRNA from 1 species